rnacentral:rRNA from 1 species
GGAAAGACCCCGUGAACCUUUACUGCAGGCUUAUAUUGGUCAUGUGCACAUGAUGCGCAGGAUAGGUGGGAGGCUUUGAAGCCGGUGCUUAGGCACUGGUGGAGCCGUUGGUGAGAUACCACCCUUCGUGAGUGUGUGGCCUAACUUCGAUUCCCGUGAAUCCGGGCGAAGGACAGUGUGUGCUGGGUAGUUUGACUGGGGCGGUC